AAAGAAAGAAGAGAUAAAAGAGGAAGGGAAGACAGGGAAAAGAAGGAAGAAAAGAGACAGAGGCGACUCCUAGCAGCGGCCGAGCUUACAGAGAGAAGGGUGGAGGUGUGUGGUGGAAGGGGAAAGCCGGCCGGCUGGCAAAGCGCUACGGAGAAAGACACGAGGCUCCUGCGCAGGGAAAGCCGAGGUUGCCACCAAAGGCCUGGCACGACCAGGGCCGUGAUGCCCCGCCCGGCCCGACCCCCGCGCGCAGAGGUACCUGGAGACGAUUUCAACUGAAGUAAUGAAGGCAGUGUCGUGCUGUCGAGAGAAAGGUGGAUCCCAACAACAGGAAACUACCUAAAUCACCGACCAGUUCUGGUGCUGCCCGCGCAGGGCUGCCUCGCCAGCCGCCGCCGCCGCCGCCGCCGCCGCCGCCGCCGCCAAGGAGAAAACCCUGCGAUCGCGCCUGGCCCAGCCCAGCCCCUAGGCAACCUGCGCCCGCCGCUGCAACGGAGUGCCCCAGGCGGCCGCAAAUGCGUCAAGGAAGGGCAAGCCACUGGCCCCAGUAAGCCAAAGUCAAGCCCGUUUGCCAACCUGCAUGUCCAUGCCUGUAAGCCCUUCUCUUGGCCAAGGAAGAAAGGAAGAAAGAAAAAAGAAACCCGGGGGCCUGUAUCCCCUGAUUAAACACAGCACAGCACUCCAGGCAGACAUGCCCGGUGGCGGCUCCUUUGCACCAUUGACCUCAGGCCAGACACCUCAGCGCCAACAAUGGGACCUCGGCCUUCCGGCUAGGUUUGCCCCAGGCUGGGCAGGAAACCAGCUCGGCCGAAGACAGGGGCCAUUUCGAGCAGUGGGACCCCAAGACGGCAAACCCAGCCCAGUCACGACUUGACACUUAGGACAAUAUCUAUCUCUAUAGAAUUUUAGCACGAUAUGGCUUUUUCCCCCAGAAAACAACAAAUAAACCAGCACCAAGCAAACACAAAGAAACAAAAAGUCAGAACAAACCAGCCCUGCACAGAUGUAACGGCCCAGGAGAUGGCGAGUGUGGGAGGGAGGAACAGGGCUCCAGCACAGGUGCGAGUUCCUGGGCAGAGGCUGAAGACAGAGGGAGGAGACCAGCGCUCGGGAAGUGAAAAAACCGCGUUGCCUGGAGAUUCAUCAGGAAAAAUUAAAGU